rnacentral:rRNA from 1 species
CCUACGGGUGGCAGCAGUGGGGGAUAUUGCACAAUGGGGGAAACCCUGAUGCAGCGACGCCGCGUGUGGGAAGACGGUCCUCUGGAUUGUAAACCACUGUCCCCAGGGACGAAGCUGACGGUACCUGGGGAGGAAGCUCCGGCUAACGACGUGCCAGCAGCCGCGGUAAUACGUAGGGAGCGGGCAUUGUCCGGAAUUACUGGGUGAAAAGGGAGCGUAGGCGGGACUGCAAGUUGGGUGUCAAAUCUACCGGCUCAACCGGUAGCCGCACUCAAAACUGCAGUUCCUGAGUGAAGGAGAGGCAGGCGGAAUUCCUAGUGUAGCGGUGAAAUGCGUAGAUAUUAGGAGGAACACCAGUGGCGAAGGCGGCCUGCUGGGCUUUUACUGACGCUGAGGCUCGAAAGUGUGGGGAGCAAACAGGAUUAGAUACCCGAGUAGUC